CAUACACACCAAUGACAGUUAUUUCCUCUGGAGAGGGAGUGUAACUUGGGAGUUAAGGGAUGAGAGGCUUCAUUUUAAAAUGAGAAUGUUUUGCGAUACUUGUGGAAUAUGAAAAAAUUAAAACAGAGGGAAGAAAAGCAUUGGGUGAGAAGCGAGUUCUAGUCCUACUUCUGUGAUUAGACAGUCACUUAAACUCUGUCGCAGUUUUCUCGUCUGGAGGACGGUAAUAGUAUUGGCUUCAUAGGAUUGGUGUGAGGAUAAGUUACUGUGUACGUGUAUAAAACUGUGCCAAACAUAUAGUAAGCGUUACGUAUUUUUGAUACUGUCAUUGUCACAUCUGUAAGUAGGGUAUGAGUCCGGAUAAGCCUGGUACAAAGACCCUUCGAAGUAAGAGAUGCGGAAGCUCCUGUCAAGCAGAACAGCAGCAGUAACCAAUAGGAGGGAUUAACAACCGUCCAGAUCCAAGGCCCCAGGUUUUUGAACAGCGUUAUUGGUCCAGGUUAUGACGCAAACGAGGAACGCAUCUCCUCAUUGGGGAAGACUGCUGUCGAUUAGGGGGGGAGCGGAACCAGCUGGGGAGGGCUGUGCGUAUCCCGUGGCGCUGUUUUCCGGCUUAGCCCUUGCGCAUUCGUCAGGCUUUCUGGAAGUCCCGGCCUGCCCCGCGACAGCUUCAGGCCGCGCUCUCUGGGAAAUUUGACCAGGUGGCUGAUGGCAGGUCCUGACAUCUCAGAGAGGUUGGCAACUUGGAGGUCUCCCACCAGCUCUUCAGACUCUCAUGUUAUUGGCAACUGCUGGGCCUCACUCACAAGCUUUCAGCCAGCUCUGGGAGCUGUGCUUAUGAUGGCUGCAGCCCAAACUACAUUCAACGAGAAGAUCCUGGAGCUGAAGCAAUUCCCAACACGUCUUCCUUUCUGCAUAGGAAUAUCCAAGCCUGGAAGCCGAGCCAAGGACGAGCAGCAGGACUGCAAGGAGGCUGGAGCUGAUAAUGGUGAAAGCGAGGAUUUGCCUGUGAUGAUGUCAGCGAUGACAUGGGCACAGUCUCAUCCAGGACCCCAGGAGUCCCUGGCUGUUCCCAAACUGAACGACGAGAGGAUAAAGCAACUUGGACGGUGGAGGCAAUCUAAGAAUGCAAGGAGUUCAACAGUUGUAUCCGUUUCCCUGGUUACCGCAG